rnacentral:lncRNA from 1 species
UGAGGAACUAGGCUCUGCUACUGGAGGAGGGAGAAGAACCUCUUUCUGACGGGAAGAGUGUUUCGCCGAUCCGAUUGCAGUAGAAUACUGGGCCUUGAUUUUCGUCAUAAUGAAUAUGAUCUCUGCCCCUACCUAGCGCGUUAAUCUGUUGCGGCCAACUCUCCGUCCCUUGUCGUCGGGAAUGAAUACCUGUAAGACAGCAUC